GUAAAUUCUGCAUUUGACGUGAUUAUAAAUAUUGCUGUAUAUUUCUCAACCCCAACUGGACUCAGCUUCAGGAGGUAUUCUUCACUUUGCGGUCGCGAGCAGCUCAACAGUUAUAUAGUUGAAGGAUAAGAUACAAGAUUAUAGAGCUUAUAGAGAGGUGCUGGUUUUAGAAGGCAACGGAAGCCCUAGUUUUUUUUUUUUUUUUGAGUUGGGCUCAAAACAUUAUGUAUGAAUGUUUUGUGAUAUAUAUAAUAUAUGUUAUUGAUGGUUUUA